rnacentral:lncRNA from 1 species
AAUCGAGUUUGUUGUUCAACAAAUGCACGAGCUUUAGCCACCGAACAAGGAUCAAUUUGGCGAAGCAUGGUUUGAAGCUGAGGAUGAAGACCGGCAAUGAACCUCGCCACGAGUUUAUCUUUAAAAUCAUGAAUAUCCACCCAAGUAAGCAUCUGAUAGAAUUCAUUCUCGUAGUCUUCAACAGAGUGAGAACCUUACGAAUGCUAUGAAACUUCUGGAACAAAAGACGCUCGAAAUUAUUAUAUAUAAAAAAAUUUUCAGCAUAUGUUUCUUAAGCUUGUCCCAUGAGGAGAUCUUUU